rnacentral:lncRNA from 1 species
CCGGCCUCCUCCGCGGCGGCUCUCCCCACCGGGAGGGGUCCUCACGCCGCCGCUGCCCCUGCACCUCCCUCCUGGACCCCCUCUCCUGCCCGGAGGCCUCUCCCCAGGACCCCGCUGCCAGGACGGCGAAGGCUGCCCCAGCGCGGCCGGCUGCGUCCUCUCCCUGGCCGCCUUCUGACUCCUCAGGGCACCCGGUCUGCCCCUCCCGCACCUCUGGACGCCCCCCGCCCCACCCACGGCAGAGCGCUCAGCUCGCAUCGAGGAGCCGCGGCUGAGCGUCCACAGGCUCAGCGUCUGACGCCGCCACACGGCUCCCGGCCCGGCCCCGACCGCGGAGAAGGGGCUGGGGCCCCGCGCCCCGGCCUGCCUCUGCCGGGCCUCGGCCCCAGCGUCACCGGACCCGCGUCUGUCUCGUCGGCCCGGGACCCGCUUGCCGCACAAGGGACUCCUCCGUUACCGCGCCUCCACGACGCCUCAGAGCACAACCCGAAGGCUCCAGAAGCCCCUCCGUCGCUGACCCCCGCCCCGGGCACCGCCGCCGGUCUCCGACCCGGUGCUGCCCCCGCCGGCGACCCCCGCGCCACCUACCCUCGCCCCACAGCGCCCCUGUUCGCGCCCGCCGAGCCACCCGCGCCGUCCCUCCUGGACCCCUCUCCUGCCCGGAGGCCUCUCCCCAGGACCCCGCUGCCAGGACGGCGAAGGCUGCCCCAGCGCGGCCGGCUGCGUCCUCUCCCUGGCCGCCUUCUGACUCCUCAGGGCACCCGGUCUGCCCCUCCCGCACCUCUGGACGCCCCCCGCCCCACCCACGGCAGAGCGCUCAGCUCGCAUCGAGGAGCCGCGGCUGAGCGUCCACGGGCUCAGCGUCUGACGCCGCCACACGGCUCCCGGCCCGGCCCCGACCGCGGAGAAGGGGCUGGGGCCCCGCGCCCCGGCCUGCCUCUGCCGGGCCUCGGCCCCAGCGUCACCGGACCCGCGUCUGUCUCGUCGGCCCGGGACCCGCUUGCCGCACAAGGACUCCUCCGUUACCGCGCCUCCACGACGCCUCAGAGCACAACCCGAAGGCUCCAGAAGCCCCUCCGUCGCUGA